rnacentral:rRNA from 1 species
AUGUGACCUCAAAUCAGGUAGGACUACCCGCUGAACUUAAGCAUAUCAAUAAGCGGAGGAAAAGAAACUAACAAGGAUUCCCCUAGUAACUGCGAGUGAAGCGGGAAAAGCUCAAAUUUAAAAUCUGGCAGUCUUUUGGCUGUCCGAGUUGUAAUCUAGA